UAACAAGGAUUCCCCUAGUAACUGCGAGUGAAGCGGGAUGAGCUCAAAUUUAAAAUCUGGUGGUCUUCUGGCCGUCCGAGUUGUAGUCUAGAGAAGUGUUAUCCGCGUCGGACCGUGUACAAGUCUCCUGGAAUGGAGCGUCAUAGAGGGUGAGAAUCCCGUCCAUGACACGGACGCCCGAUGCUUUGUGAGGCACCCUCGAAGAGUCGAGUUGUUUGGGAAUGCAGCUCAAGAUAGGUGGUAAAUUCCAUCUAAAGCUAAAUAUUGGCGAGAGACCGAUAGCGAACAAGUACCGUGAGGGAAAGAUGAAAAGCACUUUGGAAAGAGAGUUAAACAGUACGUGAAAUUGUUGAAAGGGAAACGCUUGAAGUCAGUCGCGUCCCGCGGAACUCAGCCUGGUUUCGGCCUGGUGUACUUUCCAUGGGACGGGUCAACAUCAGUUUCGGUCGGUGGAAAAAGGCGAGGGGAAUGUAGCGCCGCUUCGGUGGCGUGUUAUAGCCUCUCGUCGCAUACACUGACCGGGACUGAGGAUCGCAGCACGCCCUUGUGGCCGGGGGUUCGCCUCACGUAACGUGCUUAGGAUGUUGGCAUAAUGGCUUUAAGCGACCCGUCUUGAAACACGGACCAAGGAGUCUAACAUGCUUGUGAGUGUUCGGGUGGAAAACCCUUGCGCGUAAUGAAAGUGAAAGUUGGGAACCUCCGCGAGGGGGUGCACCGACGCCCGGCCCUGACGUUCUCUGACGGUGCUGCGGUAGAGCAAGUAUGUUGGGACCCGAAAGAUGGUGAACUAUGCCUGAAUAGGGCGAAGCCAGAGGAAACUCUGGUGGAGGCUCGUAGCGAUUCUGACGUGCAAAUCGAUCGUCAAAUUUGGG
rnacentral:rRNA from 1 species